GUAAAUUAGAGGUAGCUGGAAUAAGUAGUGUAGCGGUGAAAUGCAUAGAUAUUACUUAGAACACCAAUUGCGAAGGCAGGUUACCAUGAUUUAACUGACGCUGAGGGACGAAAGCGUGGGGAGCGAACAGGAUUAGAUACCCUGGUAGUCCACGCCGUAAACGAUGCUAACUCGUUUUUGGGGCGCAAGCUUCAGAGACCAAGCGAAAGUGAUAAGUUAGCCACCUGGGGAGUACGUUCGCAAGAAUGAAACUCAAAGGAAUUGACGGGGGCCCGCACAAGCGGUGGAUUAUGUGGUUUAAUUCGAUGAUACGCGAGGAACCUUACCAAGACUUAAAUGGGAAAUGACAGGUUUAGAAAUAGAUCCUUCUUCGGACAUUUUUCAAGGUGCUGCAUGGUUGUCGUCAGCUCGUGCCGUGAGGUGUUAGGUUAAGUCCUGCAACGAGCGCAACCCCUGUCACUAGUUGCUAACAUUCAGUUGAGGACUCUAGUGAGACUGCCUACGCAAGUAGAGAGGAAGGUGGGGAUGACGUCAAAUCAUCACGGCCCUUACGUCUUGGGCCACACACGUAAUACAAUGGCCGGU
rnacentral:rRNA from 3 species